ACCUGGGUGGCUCAGUUGGUUGAGCAUCUGACUUUGGCUCAGGUCACGAUCUUGUGGUUUGUGGGUUUGAGCCCCAGGUC
rnacentral:tRNA from 1 species